CUCGAUUUCAUUACCUCCUCUGCCGUCCCCUUUACCUCUCAUCCUUCAUUCAUCUCUUUAGUGCUGGGAAUUAAACCCAGGGCAUCUGCACUGAGCUACAUCCCCAGACCCUUUUGUUUUUAAAAUGAGAUUUUGCUAAAUCACCCCUGGGCUCGAACUUGCACUCCUCCUCUGCCUCCAAGAGCGCUGGGAUUACAACAUUGUGCCACCACGCCUGACACCUAUGUUUUAACCUUAAACCCAAUGUGCUCCCUCUGUGCAAAGUUGGUUGGAAUCUAUUCAGAAGGUGAAUUAUUUUUUAAAACAACGUGUUUGGCCAGUUACAGUGGCUCACCUGCAAUCCCAGCUGCCUAGUAGGCUGAAAUAGGAUCAUGAGUCCAAGGCAGUCCAGAAAGAUGGUGAGAUUCCAUCUCAAAAAUAAAAAUGUUUGGUGCUAAGUAAACUGCACCAAGGCUCUCACAUCUCUUGGAUCAAAGAAGUUGAGAGCGCAGGAUGCUGAGGAAGGACUCUCAGGUUGAGGGUGUUCACCGGAAAAUGAAGGUAUUCAGAAUGACAACGAUUGAUGAUUAAGCCAGAAAAUUCCCUGUCCAUUGGUCUAUGUAGCCCAGGCUGGCCUUGAAUUCAUGCAAUCCUCUUGCCUCAGCUCCCGAGUGCUGGGAUCACAGGCGUGUACCAUCAUGUCUGGCUCAAGGCAUCUAAUUUGUAAAG
rnacentral:lncRNA from 1 species